ACGGGUGAGUAAUGUCUGGGGAUCUGCCCGAUAGAGGGGGAUAACCACUGGAAACGGUGGCUAAUACCGCAUAACGUCGCAAGACCAAAGAGGGGGACCUUCGGGCCUCUCACUAUCGGAUGAACCCAGAUGGGAUUAGCUAGUAGGCGGGGUAAUGGCCCACCUAGGCGACGAUCCCUAGCUGGUCUGAGAGGAUGACCAGCCACACUGGAACUGAGACACGGUCCAGACUCCUACGGGAGGCAGCAGUGGGGAAUAUUGCACAAUGGGCGCAAGCCUGAUGCAGCCAUGCCGCGUGUAUGAAGAAGGCCUUCGGGUUGUAAAGUACUUUCAGCGGGGAGGAAGGCGGUGCGGUUAAUAACCGCACCGAUUGACGUUACCCGCAGAAGAAGCACCGGCUAACUCCGUGCCAGCAGCCGCGGUAAUACGGAGGGUGCAAGCGUUAAUCGGAAUUACUGGGCGUAAAGCGCACGCAGGCGGUCUGUUAAGUCAGAUGUGAAAUCCCCGGGCUUAACCUGGGAACUGCAUUUGAAACUGGCAGGCUUGAGUCUUGUAGAGGGGGGUAGAAUUCCAGGUGU
rnacentral:rRNA from 1 species